rnacentral:rRNA from 1 species
GGACUGCGGAGGACAUUAUCGAGUUUUGACUGGGUUGUAAGCUGGCCUUCCGAGGCAUGUGCACGCCCUGCUCAUCCACUCUACACCUGUGCACUUACUGUGGGUUUACGGGUCGCGAAAUGGGCUCGUUUAUUCGGGCUUGUUGAGCGCACUUGUUGCCUGCGUUCAUCACAAACUCUGUAAAGUAUUAGAAUGUGUAUUGCGAUGUAACGCAUCUAUAUACAACUUUCAGCAACGGAUCUCUUGGCUCUCGCAUCGAUGAAGAACGCAGCGAAAUGCGAUAAGUAAUGUGAAUUGCAGAAUUCAGUGAAUCAUCGAAUCUUUGAACGCACCUUGCGCUCCUUGGUAUUCCGAGGAGCAUGCCUGUUUGAGUGUCAUGAAAUCUUCAACCUACAAGCUUUUUGUGGUUCGUAGGCUUUGGACUUGGAGGCUUGUCGGCCUUUGUAGGUCGGCUCCUCUUAAAUGUAUUAGCUUGGUUCCUUGCGGAUCGGCUGUCGGUGUGAUAAUGUCUACUCCGCGACCGUGAAGCGUUUGGCAGGCUUCUAACCGUCUCGCUUUAGAGACAUACUUUAUGACCUCUGACCUCAAAUCAGGUAGGACUACCCGCUGAACUUAAGCAUAUCAAAAGGGGGGGAGGA